rnacentral:rRNA from 1 species
GACGACCGGUAGCCGGUCCAAGAGGGUGACCGGCCCCACUGGAACUGAGACACGGCCCAGACUCCUACGGGAGGCAGCAGUGGGGAAUAUGCACAAUGGCGAAAGCCUGAUGCAGCAACGCCGCGUGAGGGAUGACGCUUCGGGUUGUAACCUCUUUUAGUAGGGAAGAAGGGAGCUUCGGUCUUGACGGUACUUGCAGAAAAAGCACCGGCUAACUACGUGCCAGCAGCCGCGGUAAUACGUAGGGUGCAAGCGUUGUCCGGAAUUAUUGGGCGUAAAGAGCUCGUAGGCGGUUUGUCGCGUCUGCUGUGAAAUCCCGAGGCUCAACCUCGGGCUUGCAGUGGGUACGGGCAGACUAGAGUGCGGUAGGGGAGAUUGGAAUUCCUGGUGUAGCGGUGGAAUGCGCAGAUAUCAGGAGGAACACCGAUGGCGAAGGCAGAUCUCUGGGCCGUAACUGACGCUGAGGAGCGAAAGCAUGGGGAGCGAACAGGAUUAGAUACCCUGGUAGUCCAUGCCGUAAACGUUGGGCGCUAGAUGUAGGGACCUUUCCACGGUUUCUGUGUCGUAGCUAACGCAUUAAGCGCCCCGCCUGGGGAGUACGGCCGCAAGGCUAAAACUCAAAGGAAUUGACGGGGGCCCGCACAAGCGGCGGAGCAUGCGGAUUAAUUCGAUGCAACGCGAAGAACCUUACCAAGGCUUGACAUACACCGGAAACGGCCAGAGAUGGUCGCCCCCUUGUGGUCGGUGUACAGGUGGUGCAUGGUUGUCGUCAGCUCGUGUCGUGAGAUGUUGGGUUAAGUCCCGCAACGAGCGCAACCCUCGUUCUAUGUUGCCAGCGGGUUAUGCCGGGGACUCAUAGGAGACUGCCGGGGUCAACUCGGAGGAAGGUGGGGAUGACGUCAAAUCAUCAUGCCCCUUAUGUCUUGGGCUUCACGCAUGCUACAAUGGCCGGUACAAAGGGCUGCGAUACCGUAAGGUGGAGCGAAUCCCAAAAAGCCGGUCUCAGUUCGGAUUGAGGUCUGCAACUCGACCUCAUGAAGUCGGAGUCGCUAGUAAUCGCAGAUCAGCAACGCUGCGGUGAAUACGUUCCCGGGCCUUGUACACACCGCCCGUCAAGUCAUGAAAGUCGGUAACACCCGAAGCCGGUGGCCUAACCCUUGGGAAGGAGCCGUCGAAGGUGAUCGAAUGUUUA